rnacentral:lncRNA from 1 species
UCAGAGUGAGAGAGUUUCCGUGACAGUGGUGGGCCUGGAGGCGGAAGGAGUCCCAUGUGAUGCAGCCGUUGCCACAGUAACAGCUUUAUUCCUCGUGCUGAGUAUUAAGGACCAGGAAUGUGCUUCCACAGAGGAGAAGGAACCUGAGAUGAAAUGAGCGCAGAUACCACAGUCUGACACUCUAUCCUCAUGGUGAGGAGGUGUUCUGCAGCAGGAAACUCUUCUCGUGUUGACUUGGCUGUGCAAGUUAUCUGUGUAUACCCACAGCUGAAUGUCUCGGUGCCUCUCAUCAUUUGCGGCUGAAUCGCCUCAUGUUUCCUUUGCCUUGUGAGGCCUCAAGUUUUGGCAGGAAUCCGAAGCUGGAGAGAAGCACCAUGCCUGGUUUCCCCUCCUUCUCCUUAUCCUGUUUGACUUCUGCUUCUCAGAAGAAUGUUGACACCACAGUGCAGUGUUGGUACUGCCAUGGGUUUUGCUGUCUUCACCCAAGUAGAAAGAUAAGUGGAUGGCUGGUCUUAUGAGGACUGGAGACAACAGCUGAUGUAAAAUAUAUUAUGAAAACAUACAGUGUAGAUAUAAAGUUUUAAAUGGGGCUUACAGAAUAAAGUAAAGUUCACCAAUUGUUAAAUUAACUCU